rnacentral:rRNA from 1 species
AACUAGUCUAAUUAGGCAAAAAGAUUUACAGUCUAACCCCCCGAACCCGGGCGAGCUAUUCUAAGACAACUUCACGAGUUAACCCGUCUCUGUCGCAAAAGAGUGGGAAGAUCUUAUAAUAGUGGUGACAGACCAAACGAGCCUGGCGAUAGCUGGUUGCUUUUUAAAUGAAUUUUAGUUCCACUCAAAGGCCCUCAAAAUAAGAAUAAAUCCCCUUUGAAGCAAUUCAAAUAAGGUUCAGCCUAUUUGAAAAAGGACACAACCUCAGCCACUGGGUUACCAUGUUUUUUUAUGCUCAAGUAGGCCUAAAAGCAGCCACCUUCUAUAAAAGCGUCAAAGCUUAAUCAUCUUAAAACUCAAUUCCUCAAACAUCUACCAACCCCUCAUCUAUAAAAAGCAACUCUAUACUAAUUAUAGAAAAUUUUAUGUUAAAACUAGUAACAAGAAGCAGCCCUUCUCUUAAAUGCAUCUGUAUAUCAGCCAGGACACCCCACUGAUACUUAAAC